CUUUCCAUGUUGUCAACACAAUCCCCAGCUGUAUGGACCUGCUUUCCAUGUUGUCAACACAAUCCCCUGCUGUAUGGACCUGCUUUCCAUGUUGUCAACACAAUCCCCAGCUGUGUGGACCUGCUUUCCAUGUUGUCAACACAAUCCCCAGCUGUGUGGACCUGCUUUCCAUGUUGUCCCCAAAACAUCGUUGGUACUUUUUCUGUCAUUUUGUUUGGUUGCUUUUAGCGUUGUUGCUUUCUGUCUGUCUGUGUUACUGGUUAUAUGUUGCUCUGUCUGUCUGUGUUACUGGUUAUAUGUUGCUCUGUCUGUCUGUGUGUUACUGGUUAUAUGUUGCUCUGUCUGUCUGUGUUACUGGUUAUAUGUUGCUCUGUCUGUCUGUGUUACUGGUUAUAUGUUGCUCUGUCUGUCUGUGUUACUGGUUAUAUGUUGCUCUGUCUGUCUGUGUUACUGGUUAUAUGUUGCUCUGUCUAUCUGUGUGUUACUGGUUAUAUGUUGCUCUGUCUGUCUGUGUUACUGGUUAUAUGUUGCUCUGUCUGUCUGUGUUACUGGUUAUAUGUUGCUCUGUCUGUCUGUGUUACUGGUUAUAUGUUGCUCUGUCUGUGUGUUACUGGUUAUGUUGCUCUGUCUGUCUGUGUUACUGGUUAUAUGUUGCUCUGUCUGUCUGUGUGUUACUGGUUAUGUUGCUCUGUCUGUCUGUGUUACUGGUUAUAUGUUGCUCUGUCUGUCUGUGUGUUACUGGUUAUGUUGCUCUGUCUGUCUGUGUGUUACUGGUUAUAUGUUGCUCUGUCUGUCUGUGUGUUACUGGUUAUAUGUUGCUCUGUCUGUCUGUGUUACUGGUUAUGUUGCUCUGUCUGUCUGUGUUACUGGUUAUAUGUUGCUCUGUCUGUCUGUGUUACUGGUUAUAUGUUGCUCUGUCUGUCUGUGUGAUACUGGUUAUAUGUUGCAUUGUCUGUCUGUGUUACUGGUGAUAUGUUGCUCUGUCUGUCUGUGUUACUGGUUAUAUGUUGCUCUGUCUGUCUGUGUUACUGGUUAUAUGUUGCUCUGUCUGUCUGUGUGUUACUGGUUAUAUGUUGCUCUGUCUGUCUGUGUUACUGGUUAUAAGUUGCUCUGUCUGUCUGUGUGAUACUGGUUAUAUGUUUCUCUGUCUGUCUGUGUUACUGGUUAUAUGUUGCUCUGUCUGUCUGUCUGUGUACUGGUUAUAUGUUGCUCUGUCUGUCUGUGUUACUGGUUAUAUGUUGCUCUGUCUGUCUGUGUGUUACUGGUUAUAUGUUGCUCUGUCUAUCUGUGUGUUACUGGUUAUAUGUUGCUCUGUCUGUCUGUGUUACUGGUUAUAUGUUGCUCUGUCUGUCUGUCCUUUACAGAAAUGUUGAUAAAUGUGCAACUGAUACCUUUAAAAAAAUAAACUUAAUUAAAGUAAUAAUAAUAAUGUCUGGAUAAUGUAUAGAAUAUCAAGGUUCAGAGUUUAUAACUGGAUAAUGUAUAGAAUAUCAAGGUUGAGUUUAUAACUGGAUAAUGUAUAGAAUAAAGGUUGAGUUUAUAACUGGAUAAUGUAUAGAAUAUCAAGGUUGAGUUUAUAACUGGAUAAUGUAUAAAAUAUCAAGGUUCAGAGUUUAUAACUGGAUAAUGCACAUGUUGAGGUCCAGUGUGAGGAUAACAUAGCAUCAUAUAGAGAACCAGUGUGUGUAUGACUGGAUAAUGUAGCUUCAUAUAGAGGACCCGUGUGUGUAUGACUGGAUAAUGUAGCUUCAUAUAGAGGACCAGUGUGUGUAUGACUGGAUAACAUAGCAUCAUAUAGAGGACCAGUGUGUGUAUGACUGGAUAAUGUAGCUUCAUAUAGAGGACCAGUGUGUGCAUGACUGGAUAAUGUAGCUUCAUAUAGAGGACCAGUGUGUGUAUGACUGGAUAAUGUAGCUUCAUAUAGAGGACCAGUGUGUGUAUGACUGGAUAAUGUAGCUUCAUAUAGAGGACCAGUGUGUGUAUGACUGGAUAAUGUAGCUUCAUAUAGAGGACCCGUGUGUGUAUGACUGGAUAAUGUAGCUUCAUAUAGAGGACCAGUGUGUGUAUGACUGGAUAAUGUAGCUUCAUAUAGAGGACCAGUGUGUGUAUGACUGGAUAAUGUAGCUUCAUAUAGAGGACCAGUGUGUGUAUGACUGGAUAAUGUAGCUUCAUAUAGAGGACCAGUGUGUGUAUGACUGGAUAAUGUAGCUUCAUAUAGAGGACCCGUGUGUGUAUGACUGGAUAAUGUAGCUUCAUAUAGAGGACCAGUGUGUGUAUGACUGGAUAAUGUAGCUUCAUAUAGAGGACCAGUGUGUGUAUGACUGGAUAAUGUAGCUUCAUAUAGAGGACCCGUGUGUGUAUCUCAUGAUAAUAGCUGGUGGACAGACUACGUCGACACAAAUGAUGCCAUCGAUCUGUCAUCGUACAACAGGAUGGGUGACAUAACGAGCUACUUCUGGAGCUUUGGACAGAUCACCAUUUCACAGGUGUUAGCAUCUUUCACCAUCUUUCACCAUUUCACAGGUGUUAGCAUCUUUCACCAUUUCACAGGUGUUAGCAUCUUUCACCAUUUCGCAGGUGUUAGCAUCUUUCACCAUUUCACAGGUGUUAGCAUCUUUCACCAUUUCGCAGGUGUUAGCAUCUUUCACCAUUUCACAGGUGUUAGCAUCUUUCACCAUUUCACAAGGGGAGGGGACAUUUGGUCCAUAGUCUUGCCCGUAACUUGCAAAGACAGG
rnacentral:lncRNA from 1 species